rnacentral:rRNA from 1 species
ACGAACGCUGGCGGCGUGCCUAAUACAUGCAAGUAGAACGCUGAAGGAGGAGCUUGCUUCUCUGGAUGAGUUGCGAACGGGUGAGUAACGCGUAGGUAACCUGCCUGGUAGCGGGGGAUAACUAUUGGAAACGAUAGCUAAUACCGCAUAAGAGUAGAUGUUGCAUGACAUUUGCUUAAAAGGUGCAAUUGCAUCACUACCAGAUGGACCUGCGUUGUAUUAGCUAGUUGGUGGGGUAACGGCUCACCAAGGCGACGAUACAUAGCCGACCUGAGAGGGUGAGCGGCCACACUGGGACUGAGACACGGCCCAGACUCCUACGGGAGGCAGCAGUAGGGAAUCUUCGGCAAUGGACGGAAGUCUGACCGAGCAACGCCGCGUGAGUGAAGAAGGUUUUCGGAUCGUAAAGCUCUGUUGUAAGAGAAGAACGAGUGUGAGAGUGGAAAGUUCACACUGUGACGGUAGCUUACCAGAAAGGGACGGCUAACUACGUG